rnacentral:rRNA from 1 species
CUAAUCUGCGAUAAGCGCCGGUAAGGUGAUAUGAACCGUUAUAACCGGCGAUACCCGAAUGGGGAAACCCAGUGUGACUCGUCACACUAUCAUUAACUGAAUCCAUAGGUUAAUGAGGCGAACCGGGGGAACUGAAACAUCUAAGUACCCCGAGGAAAAGAAAUCAACCGAGAUUCCCCCAGUAGCGGCGAGCGAACGGGGAGGAGCCCAGAGCCUGAAUCAGCAUGUGUGUUAGUGGAAGCGUCUGGAAAGGCGCGCGAUACAGGGUGACAGCCCCGUACACAAAAGCGCAUGUGCUGUGAGCUCGAUGAGUAGGGCGGGACACGUGGUAUCCUGUCUGAAUAUGGGGGGACCAUCCUCCAAGGCUAAAUACUCCUGACUGACCGAUAGUGAACCAGUACCGUGAGGGAAAGGCGAAAAGAACCCCGGCGAGGGGAGUGAAAAAGAACCUGAAACCGUGUACGUACAAGCAGUGGGAGCCCCACCACCAAAGCAUUUGCUGUACCGCGUUGACGGAGCGAAGCGACGUCAAACCGAUAAAACAGCAGUGUAAAGU